rnacentral:rRNA from 1 species
GAUGAACGCUGGCGGCGUGCCUAAUACAUGCAAGUAGAACGCUGAAGCUUGGUGCUUGCACCGAGCGGAUGAGUUGCGAACGGGUGAGUAACGCGUAGGUAACCUGCCUCUUAGCGGGGGAUAACUAUUGGAAACGAUAGCUAAUACCGCAUAAAAGACGAUAUCGCAUGAUAUUGAUUUGAAAGGUGCAAUUGCAUCACUAAGAGAUGGACCUGCGUUGUAUUAGCUAGUUGGUGAGGUAACGGCUCACCAAGGCGACGAUACAUAGCCGACCUGAGAGGGUGAUCGGCCACACUGGGACUGAGACACGGCCCAGACUCCUACGGGAGGCAGCAGUAGGGAAUCUUCGGCAAUGGGGGCAACCCUGACCGAGCAACGCCACGUGAGUGAAGAAGGUUUUCGGAUCGUAAAGCUCUGUUGUAAGAGAAGAACGAGUGUGAGAGUGGAAAGUUCACACUGUGACGGUAACUUACCAGAAAGGACGGCUAAUAC